rnacentral:rRNA from 1 species
UACGUAGGAGGCAAGCGUUGUCCGGAAUUACUGGGUGUAAAGCGCGUGUAGGCGGCAGGCCAAGUCUGUGGUGAAAUCGCUCGGCUCAACUGGGCGGGGUCCAUGGAAACUGGUCAGCUGGAGGACGGUAGAGGUGAGUGGAAUUCCCGGUGUAGUGGUGAAAUGCGUAGAUAUCCGGAGGAACACCGGUGGCGAAGGCGGCUUCCUGGACCGACACUGACGCUGAGGCGCGAAAGCUAGGGGAGCAAACGGG